AGUAGCUCAAUUGGCAGAGCAUCCGGCUGUUAACCGGAGGGUUGCAGGUUCAAGUCCUGCCU
rnacentral:tRNA from 1 species